CUGUAGUAAACAACUUAUGUCCUUAUCAAUGUGGGCCAGACGGUGUGCCUUAUGCUAGGAGCAGGGCUUUUACACUUUAAGAGCUUAGGGCUUUUACAUCAAGAUAGUGGGGUGUUCAUCAACUUUGGAAGUUACAGAGUAUUGGGGUUUCCACACAGCAAACAUUUUACACAAUAAUUAUUUCGUACAUUAUAGGAGUUUCCUUAUGACCAUAACAUUAUUAUAACAGCCAAGGAAAAAUGCUGCUCAGCCAGA